rnacentral:rRNA from 1 species
UACGUAGGGUGCAAGCGUUGUCCGGAAUUAUUGGGCGUAAAGAGCGUGUAGGCGGCCUCGUAAGUCCACUGUGAAAGUCCAGGGCUCAACCCUGGAAAGCCGGUGGAUACUGCGAGGCUAGAGUCCGGAAGGGGCGAGUGGAAUUCCUGGUGUAGCGGUGAAAUGCGCAGAUAUCGGGAGGAACACCAGUGGCGAAGGCGACUUCCUGGCCUGUUCUUGACGCUGAGGCGCGAAAGCUAGGGGAGCAAACGGG